rnacentral:rRNA from 1 species
GACGGGGGGGGCUAGUGUUAUUCGGAAUGACUAGGCGUAAAGGGCACGUAGGCGGUGAAUCCGGUUGAAAGUGAAAGUCGCCAGCUCAACUGGCGGAAUGCUUUCAAAACCAAUCCACUUGAGUAAGAUAGAGGAUAGUGGAAUUUCGUGUGUAGAGAUAAAAUUCACAGAUAUACGAAGGAACACCAAAAGCGAAGGCAGCUUUCUGGGUCUCUACUGACGCUGAGGUGCGAAAGCAUAGGGAGCAAACAGG